rnacentral:rRNA from 1 species
GACGAACGCUGGCGGCGUGCCUAAUACAUGCAAGUCGAACGCACAGUUUAUACCGUAGCUUGCUACACCAUAGACUGUGAGUUGCGAACGGGUGAGUAACGCGUAGGUAACCUGCCUGGUAGCGGGUGAUAACUAUUGGAAACGAUAGCUAAUACCGCAUAAUAUUAAUUAUUGCAUGUUAAUUAAUUGAAAGGUGCAAUUGCACCACUACCAGAUGGACCUGCGUUGUAUUAGCUAGUAGGUGAGGUAACGGCUCACCUAGGCGACGAUACAUAGCCGACCUGAGAGGGUGAUCGGCCACACUGGGACUGAGACACGGCCCAGACUCCUACGGGAGGCAGCAGUAGGGAAUCUUCGGCAAUGGACGAAAGUCUGACCGAGCAACGCCGCGUGAGUGAAGAAGGGUGUCGGAUCGUAAAGCUCUGUUGUAAGAGAAGAACGGGUGUGAGAGUGGAAAGUUCACACUGUGACGGUAUCUUACCAGAAAGGGACGGCUAGCUACGUG